GAGGGUGCGGUCCGCGCUGGGCGAGGCUUCCUGCGGGCACCGGCGCGCUCGGCCUCCGCUCCUGGGCGCUGCAGUUCUCCCUCUCCUUGCCAGCCCAGAGAUAAAUAGACGGCCAGAAAGAAAAGAAAAGAAGAAAACAUCUCUAGAGCUCUGCGCGGGGAGGACAGUAGCCGCGGCAGCUGUGGUUUCUGAUAGCUAAUUAACACCUCAGCAUUACAAUUCUGCUUUCCAUAAACUUCUGUGCAGAAAUCUAGGGAAUCCAAAAGAAUUGGAGAGUGCUGAGCUCCCUGGAGUCUGAAGCCUGGAGAAACCAUCCAGAAGGCUGUAGCUAUUCAUCUCAAAGGAGCAGAUGUUGUCCCUCCCCAAGGAGUUAUUAUGGGUUGGAAGAAAUGAGAAAAUGAAUAUAAACAAGUUAUUUUGUGAAUGUUAUCAAAUACGAUCAGCACCAACCAAACAGAGCUCUAAAUGCGAAAAAGCAAGUGGACUCAAUGUGGAUGAAGUGUGGAGGGGAUUUUGAGACAUGAAGCUUGAAAUACAGUUGACCCUUGAACAAGGUGCCAUAACCUUUCACCUGGGUUCCUUAGCUCUUGUGAAGGUAUCUUCAUGCAUGGAUGGUAGUUCAAACUGAUGUUUCUUUGAAAGAUCUUAUGGGCUACUUAGGAGACAGCAAGUAAUAGAGCUAUUGAAAUAGAAUCUGCAGUGUGAAGACAUAGAGUGUGGAAGGUAUGGAAGCACAGGGAAAUCCAUCCGUAUGAGUUUCCCGUUACUACUGCAACAGACUGCUACAAAUUGAGUGGCUUAAAACAACACAAAUGGAUUAUUUUAUAGUUCUGGAGUUUAGAAGUCCGAAAUGAGUUUUACCAGGCUAAAUCAAGGAGUGUGCGGAGCCGUGCUCCUGUGGACACUCUAUGCAAGAAUAUGUUUUCUUGCCUUUUCCAGCUUCUGGAGCAUCCAGUCACAUUGCCUCUGAUUCUGACUCUCUUGACUCCUUCUUAUUGGGAUCCUUGUGAUCACACUGCUCAUCUGCAUCAUCUAAGAGUAUUUCCCCAUCUCAGUAUUCUUCACUUAAUCACAUCUGCAAAGUCCUGUGGCCACACAAGGUCACAUAUUCACAGGUACGGGGCAUUAAUGACAUGGACAUUUCGGGGAGCCAGUACUCUGCCUCUCACAUCAUCUCAUCCAGACUUGGGGAAUCAGGGAGGCUUCCUAGAAAAAAACUUCUGAACUGAAACUUAACUGAUAAAAUAUUAUAUUUCCAGAAAAUGUGGGAUAAGUGAAGGAGGAGGGUCAGUCACAGUGAAAAGAAGACUUCCUAAACAGAGGAAAACGGAGAUGACUCAGAGCUGAACCAAAGAAAGUGCUUCAGCCAGAAAUAAACCCAAGCAUUUGCAGUCAAUUGAUUUUCAACAAAGGCACCAAGAACACACAAUGGGGAGAAUCUCAAUAUAUGGAGUUGGAAAAACUGGAUAUCCACAUGCACAAGAAUGAAAAUGGGCCCUCAUUUCACACCACAUACAAAAAUCAACUGAAGAUGGAUUAAUGGCCUUGGUGCAGUGGCUCACGCCUGU